rnacentral:misc_RNA from 1 species
UUGUCCCCGUGUAUUACACCCACAUGGAGCACACGAAUUGCAAAUAGCAUGGUACAUCGCAGGAACACGUUAUCAAUCCGAGAGAUCGGAUGAUUUAUAUUGAAUCAUCAAAAUAAAUUAAUACGAAAUUAAUUAAUCGAUUUGAGAGACUAGAGAGAAUUUUUUUCCUAACAUAAAUGCCAAGUUUGAUGAUGGAUGAAGCUGCCAACUGCCAUUGUUCCAUCUGAAAUAAGCAGCUACUGUAACUCGACCAAUUGUUCGUCAGGUAUAUAGGUGAGUUUUUGAAACUCUGUAUAACCUCAAAAGGAUGGCCCUAAUUCUGUCAAAACUAUAAAUACCCUACGGAAAAGUAUAAAUUAACAUAUAUACAAAUUAAACAUUUCUGUAAACAACAAAAGGACAACAGAAUUGUGGUGGAAAGUAUGCUCAGGUGGCAAAGCUAUUUACUCGAUGGAGAGGUUAGCUUAUUUUCCUCGGAGUCAUGUCUUACGGAAGCAUCCCCACCCAUCAAUUCCUGAAAGCCUUCAACCUUCACUGGUGGAGCCCUAGCAAUGCUCAUGUUCGGUGUCUGCAUUUGAGGAACUUGCAUGGAUGUCAACUGCCUAAAUUGAUUGCUAGAUUGUGCUUGGAGAUUUGAAAUUGCAGCAAGUUGUUGCUGACGGUACUGCAAUUGUGGAUGUCUGGAGUGGAUGGCAUUGAAGGCAUUUCCAUCCAUUGGCAAUUCUGAUGGGUUUUCAAUCUUCACUUGUACCAUUGGUCUGUCCUUGUCCAUAUCCAUUGCAGGGCGAGGAGUGGAUGAUUGCCGCCUUCGCAAUCUCUCCAACUGCUGUUGCUGAUAAACCAAAUUCUGCGGAUUAACCAUCUGCUGCAUUUGUGGAUGCAUUUGUCUUGGAAUUUGCUGGGGUAACCGAAGCGUGCUCUGGUGCUGAGGCUGCAAAUGUGACUGCAUUCCGUGUAUUUGUUGUUGCGUUUGUUGCACAAUAUUCUUAGUCCCAUCCUUAAGCUCCAUCAAAUUGCCAAGAUUACUUGCAAGAAAAAAAGAGACAUGUUAGAAAGACGUAACAGAAGCUAACAUUACUGAUUCCACUCAUCAUACCUAUCAAUGACGAACACCAAAAUGCUAACAUGUUCACACAAUAAGGUAUGUCUAAUUCAAAGGAAGAAUUCAACUUCAGAAGAAAUAACCAGAGAUUUGUUCAAAGAAAAAAAUGGCCAUAUACUUGCUUUGUCCACAUAAAAUCACCAAGAACAAAGCAGUUCAAGAUUUCACAGUGAAUUCCAUUAGUGCACCGAGUUUUUUUACUUUGAUAGUCGAGUGCUUCAGCACUACCAAUCCUUAGAAUAUGAAAACAAUUAAAUUGCAGCAGUAACCCAAGAACUAGUAGGUUGGAUAUUCAUUCAUUUAUGGCACAAAAGUCAUAGGCCAUCAAAUCAAAUGCAUCUGCAAUUUGGUUUUUCAGGUCACUGGAUAUGAUCAUGAUAACUACCAAGCUUAUUUCAGCUUUGUGCUACUAAAUCAAGCAUUUUAACAUUAAUUGGUCACUACAAUCUACCCUUUCUAGUUCAGUUUGGAGCAUUCAAUCUGUUGGCUAUUAUUUGUUCAACUGCAUAAGAUUCAACGAAAAGGUAGAUGCCAGCAGCAUAUUCACCAUUCAAUAUAAUUAUAAAGAAAAAAAAAUUAAUGUGAAAGAAGGCAAAGAAAAGCAUUAUAUGAAGGCAAACUAAAACAAUGAAUUAGUUAUAGCUGAACUUAUUUGAAAUAGUGCUUAGAUGGUUAUCAUUGUUUUCUUUAACAUAUUAUGAUAAACAUCUAAGCACUCCCUCAUAUAUUGUCACAAAUAGCUACUAUAAAGAAAUCAUUGGCAAUUUGUGACUAACAAGAAACGAGUAUCACAGCAUCUUGAAUAAUGAAUCUAAAGAACCAUAGAAAUUCAACAAAUAACAGUGGAUUGAUAAUCCUAGGCUUUGUUUGGGAGAGGGAGGAAAAUGGAAGGAGAGGAAUAGGAAAAUGGGUCAACGGACCCAAAAUUUUGUUUCCUGAGAUGUGAGCCCACAACCUCAUUUUCCUCUCAUUUUCUCUCCCCAUCCACUUUCCUCCCUCUCCCAAACAGAGGGUUAGAGUUAAAGCUGAAUAAAGGUGCAUCCAUGUGACAAUAAGAUCCUAGAAACAACAAAAAAUUAUUUUGCUUUGAGUAACUGAGUUCAAAAAUAAAAUCAUGGAACUGGUAGGAGCUUGAAAAGUGAUGAGGAAGAAAACACUAAAACAAACAUUAUAAGGGAUUUCUCGCUCACCUAUAUCCUGCUGUUUGAAGAAACAUCUUAAUUAGGUCAAUUGCCGAACAUUGUUUCCUAUAACUAUCAGCAAAAACUUUCAAAAUACGGCCCAGUUUACUAAUAUGACACCUAAGCAAUCGAGAUAAGACUUCCACUGGAACUUCUGUUGCACUUUCAAACCCCUUCUGUGCCAAAAUACGGGCCACUACCUUCUGACACAUCUGUGAUGCUUGCUGUUGACCAAGAAGUUUCCUAUUUCCUUCAGACCCAUUUUUCGGACGAUGUAAACUUCCUCCUUGUUCCACACUAAUACCAAGCCUCUCUAUCACAACAGAACUCCUGGUCUGAGGUAAUGCAUCAAGAACUCCAUGAAACUCAAUUUUUUCAUUGCUUUCAGUUCGAAUUAUCAGCGGAAGUGCACUAUCAGGUACACAAUUUGACAUAAACAUUGUUUCAGGGAAAAAGGUUACAUCCUCAUCAUCUAAAACAGAACUGGUAUGCAUACUUGGUGUAAAUGCAAGACGCCUUCUCUUAUGCUUAUCAAGAAGUCCAAGAUAAUUAGACAUUUCCUCAGGUGAACGUUUGUCCAACUCUCUGUCUCCAAAUGACAACCUGUAUGGUCUACUAGCUUUAUGCUUUUCCAUAAACUGACUAUACCACGUUUCAGGAAAUUCUUCGUUCCUGAAUCUCUGGGGCAUGCUUUCCAGUUCAGAAUCACCAUAUCUUGAUCCAGUACUAAAAGUAGAUUUAGAAUGGCUCUUAGACGGUGCCACAUUUGGCCCAACACCACCACCACCAACUUCUCUCCGUUGAUCCCCGUCCUCCAGAGUGAAGUAUAAGUCAUCACCAUGCAGCUGCAAAUAAUUCGGAUUAAGCUUUGAAACAGCAAGCGAAGAAGAGGAAGUGGAGGGAUUAUUGGAAGAAAGAAAGAGAGAGACGCUAACUUUUUCGAACAAUAGGGCGCGGACACGGAGCUGGAGGUGGAUCUGAGAUUUGGACUUGGGCUCGUCAGCCCGCAUGAAGGAGUCCCAUGAGGAGGAAGAGGAGAGGAAGUGAACAAAAUUGGAGUAGAGAGAGUCGCCGAGCCACGUCCGCCAUACGCCUAGCGUCUCUAGCUUGCGAGCUAGCUCGAAGCCGCGGCCAUCGUCGCCGAGGAGAGACAUCGUUCUCUGACAGAAAUUGGUUGCUUUUGUGCUUGGGAUGUAUAAAAAUCAAAUAGGUCUGACCGUCGGAAUGGGAAUCGUUGGUCUUCGCUUUCGGAGGUGUGAUUCAG